UAUCACUCAGAUUUAGCAAUCUGGCGUCUUCGGCGUCCGAGUUGUAAUUUGAAGAAGGUAUCUUUGGUUUUGGCUCUUGUCUAUGUUCCUUGGAACAGGACGUCACAGAGGGUGAGAAUCCCGUGCGAUGAGAUGCCCAAUUCCAUGUAAAGUUCCUUCGACGAGUCGAGUUGUUUGGGAAUGCAGCUCUAAGUGGGUGGUAAAUUCCAUCUAAAGCUAAAUAUUGGCGAGAGACCGAUAGCGAACAAGUACUGUGAAGGAAAGAUGAAAAGAACUUUGAAAAGAGAGUGAAAAAGUACGUGAAAUUGUUGAAAGGGAAGGGCUUGAGAUCAGACUUGGAAUUUUCCAGCAAUGGAGCUUUCCGGGCCAGCAUCAGUUUGGAUGGCAGGAUAAUUGCGUAGGAAAGUGGCACCACCUCGGUGGUGUGUUAUAGCCUGCGUCGAUACUGCCUAUCUAGACUGAGGACUGCGUCUUUGACUAGGAUGCUGGCAUAAUGAUCUUAAGCC
rnacentral:rRNA from 1 species